rnacentral:rRNA from 1 species
CAAUACUUAGUGGCGAACGGGUGAGUAUAAUGUGGGUAUCUGCCUUUUGGUUUGGAAUAACACGAGGAAACUUGUGCUAAUACCGGAUAAGCCUUUACAGGGAAAGUUUUAACGCCAAAAGAUGAGCCCGCACUUGAUUAGCUAGUUGGUAAGGUAAAAGCUUACCAAGGCUACGAUCAAUAGCUGAUCUGAGAGGAUGAUCAGCCACAUUGGGACUGAGACACGGCCCAAACUCCUACGGGAGGCAGCAGUGGGGAAUCUUGCACAAUGGGGGAAACCCUGAUGCAGCGAUGCCGCGUGAGUGAAGAAGGCCCUUGGGUUGUAAAGCUCUUUCGUCGGGGAAGAAAAUGACUGUACCCGAAUAAGAAGGUCCGGCUAACUUCGUGCCAGCAGCCGCGGUAAUACGAAGGGACCUAGCGUAGUUCGGAAUUACUGGGCUUAAAGAGCUCGUAGGUGGUUAGAAAAGUUGGUGGUGAAAGCCCAAGGCUUAACCUUGGAACUGCCAUCAAAACUUUUUAACUAGAGUAUGAUAGAGGUAAGCGGAAUUUCUAGUGUAGAGGUGAAAUUCGUAGAUAUUAAAAAGAACACCAAUUGCGAAGGCAGCUUUCUGGAUCAUUACUGACACUGAGGAGCGAAAGCAUGGGUAGCGAAGAGGAUUAGAUACCCUCGUAGUCCAUGCCGUAAACGAUGUGUGCUAGACGUUGGAAAUUUAGUUUUCAGUGUCGCAGCAAAAGCGUUAAGCACACCGCCUGGGGAGUACGACCGCAAGGUUAAAACUCAAAUGAAUUGACGGGGACCCGCACAAGUA